rnacentral:rRNA from 1 species
UACGGAGGAUGCAAGCGUUAUCCGGAAUGAUUGGGCGUAAAGCGUCCGCAGGUGGCUAUGUAAGUCUGCUGUUAAAGCGUGAGGCUCAACCUCAUAAGAGCAGUGGAAACUACAUGGCUAGAGUGCGUUCGGGGCAGAGGGAAUUCCUGGUGUAGCGGUGAAAUGCGUAGAGAUCAGGAAGAACACCGGUGGCGAAAGCGCUCUGCUAGGCCGCAACUGACACUCAUGGACGAAAGCUAGGGGAGCGAAUGGG